rnacentral:rRNA from 1 species
UACGAAGGGUGCAAGCGUUACUCGGAAUUACUGGGCGUAAAGCGUGCGUAGGUGGUUGUUUAAGUCUGUUGUGAAAGCCCUGGGCUCAACCUGGGAAUUGCAGUGGAUACUGGGCGACUAGAGUGUGGUAGAGGGUAGUGGAAUUCCCGGUGUAGCAGUGAAAUGCGUAGAGAUCGGGAGGAACAUCCAUGGCGAAAGCAGCUACCUGGACCAACACUGACACUGAGGCACGAAAGCGUGGGGAGCAAACAGG